UUGACCUCGGAUCAGGUCAGGGAUACCCGCUGAACUUAA
rnacentral:rRNA from 1 species